rnacentral:sRNA from 1 species
AGGCUUGCCUGGUCUGGGCUCUUUCUCUCGCUACCAGACUGCCCCUGCCUGGGAAGCCAUCUGCCAGGGGCUGAUGACCCCAUGGGGAAGAGGAAUAGCUGGCUUGGGUGGUUACUCCUGCUCCUAAAAAGGCUGCUGACUUGAGUAAACCAAUAGAUAAAAGGAUAUACAAAGGAACACAGCCUACUUGUCAUGACUUCAACCACCUAACAGCCACAGCAGAAAGUGUCUCUCUCCUAGUGGGCUUUUCCGCAGGCCAAGUCCAGCUUAUAGACCCAAUCAAAAAAGAAACUAGCAAACUUUUUAAUGAGGAAAGACUAAUAGACAAGUCACGAGUUACCUGUGUCAAAUGGGUUCCCGGUUCGGAAAGCCUUUUCCUAGUAGCCCACUCGAGUGGGAACAUGUACUUAUAUAAUGUGGAGCACACUUGUGGCACCACAGCCCCCCACUACCAGCUUCUGAAGCAGGGAGAGAGCUUUGCCGUGCACACUUGCAAGAGCAAAUCCACCAGGAACCCUCUGCUUAAGUGGACGGUGGGCGAGGGGGCCCUCAACGAGUUU